UCUGCCAUCUUCUCAGUCUGCCAGAUUUCCAAAUAAAGUUGUAUUCCUUUGCCUCAACACCUCAUCUCCGAUUCGUUAGCCUGUCGUCCAGCGAGCAGGGUGAGCUUGGACUCAGUAACAAAUUUGGCUUAGCCAGCCAGGAGCCUUGCUGCUCAUGGCUAGCCGGCCCCGCUCAGGGAAUAUUGGGGCAGGGCCGUAGCAGCUGCCAGGACCAUUGUCCUGAGGACCUUCCCUUCAAAGUUCCCUUGAAGCGACACCAGCUACCCCAGCACUUGGCAGUUGAGGCAAGGAACCAACAAACUCCCAUUUCGGGAACUUCGGUUCCAUCUGGGGCUACAAGUCAAUGGACUCGAUUCGAUUCUGGAGGCUUGAGACACUCUUUGUGGAUAAAUUCAAGGUUAGCAGGGCUUCCCUCGUGGCACAGUGGUUGGGACUCCACCUGCCAAUGCAGGGGACACGGGUUCGAUCCCUGGUCUGCAAAGAUCCCACAUGCUGUGGAGCAGCUAAGCCAGAGCACCACAACUACCGAGGCUGUGCUCUAGAGCCGGCGAGCCACAACUACUGAGCCCACAUGCCACAACUACUGAAGCCCGCGUGCCUAGAGCCCAUGCUCCGCAACAGGACAGGCCACCGCAAUGGGAAGCCCGUGCACCACAAGGAAGAGUGGCCCCUGCUCACCGCAACUAGAGAAAGCCCGCGGGCAGCAACGAAGACCCAACGCAGCCAAAAAUAAAGAAAUAAAUUU